CCUACGGGUGGCAGCAGUGAGGAAUAUUGGUCAAUGGCCGCAGGGCUGAACCAGCCAAGUCGCGUGAGGGAGGACGGUCCUAUGGAUUGUAAACCUCUUUUGUCAGGGAGCAAAGGGCGGCACGUGUGGGGUUUUGCGAGUACCUGAAGAAAAAGCAUCGGCUAACUCCGUGCCAGCAGCCGCGGUAAUACGGAGGAGGCGAGCGUUAUCCGGAUUUAUUGGGGUUAACGGGGGCGCAGGCGGAAUGUCAAGUCAGCGGUAAAAUUUCGGGGCUCAACCCCGUCGUGCCGUUGAAACUGGCGUUCUUGAGUGAGCGAGAAGUAUGCGGCAUGCGUGGUGUAGCGGUGAACUGCAUCGAUCUCACGCAGAACUCCGAUUGCGAAGGCAGCAUACCGGCGCUCAACUGACGCUCAUGCACGACCGCGUGGGUAUCGAACAGGAUUAGCUACCCUUGUAGUC
rnacentral:rRNA from 1 species